GCAGUCGUGGCCGAGUGGUUAAGGCGAUAGACUAGAAAUCUAUUGGGAUUUUCCCGCACAGGUUCGAAUCCUGUCGACUGCG
rnacentral:tRNA from 1 species